rnacentral:lncRNA from 1 species
ACAGCUCCGCUAGAAUCGAUCUAAGAAAUGAUACUGAGUUUGAACGCUUUUCAGAUCGGACUCAAUAAAAAUAGACCUUUCAAUGCUCUAUCUAUGCUCAAAAACAUCUGAGCCAGAGGAUUCAGACCAAGUUGGAGGAUCCAAAGUGGUAACGGUCUGAGGUUUCACCUCGGAUCCAACUCGAGGGACCGAUCGAGAAGCUCGAUCAGCUUGACAGCUUUCACCUUAGAUCUUACUAC